UGGAAAGACCAGUUGGAGAAGGACUAACGGAAGGUUUGCUAACGCCAUUUAUACCCCGAACAGGGCAAUUUAAGUUUGUCACGAAGUUUGUAACACCCAGAAGGAAGCGUCGGAGACCCUAUAAAGUAUAUACAUAUAUAAAUGAUCAGUAUGUUGAGCUGAGUCGAUUUAGCCAUGUCCGUCUGUCUGUAUAUAUACGAACUAGUCCCUCAGUUUUUAAGAUAUCGUUUUGAAAUUUUGCAAACGUCAUUUUCUCUUCAAGAAGCUGCUCAUUUGUCGGAACUGCCGAUAUCGGACCACUAUAACAUAUAGCUGCCAUACAAACUGAACGAUCGGAAUCAAGUUCUUGUAUGGAAAACUUUCACAUUUGACAAUAUAUAUUCACGAAAUUUGGUAUAGAUUAUUUUCUAAGACAACAAUGUAAUCUCCGAAGAAAUUGUUCAGAUCGGUUAACUAUAGCAUAUAGCUGCCAUACAAACCGAACGAUCGGAAUCAAGGGCUUGUAUGGAAAACUUUUGCAUUUGACGUGGUAUCUUCACGAAAUUUGACAUGGAUUACUGCUUAAGGUAAUAAUA